rnacentral:rRNA from 1 species
AUGACCUGUGCUAGCCAUGCCGUGAUUUUCCUCGUCUUCUCAAAUUUGGCCAUAGCCAUGGGCGCCACCCCUCCUCCCUUAGCACCUUACGUAGGGAAGUGUACGAGUAGUUGUGAGGAAGAGCUGAAUCUAUCUUUGUACCUGCACCAAGUUGUCAGUGGAGCAGCCCACAACCAAGAAGUAAUUCUGAGCCCCGGCUUUGCUAAUUCGUUUGGUGUGAUGGCAGUUAAUGACUGGACUAUGCAUGCCACCAAUGAUUCCACUGCAAGUAUCAUUGCUCGGGCAAAGGGAAUGCAUAUCCAGGCUACCCAAACCCAGGCCAAUGGCUAUGCUUGGUUUCUUCCGUUCAACAUGGUCUUUGAGGACUCCAGCUUUCGCGGGUCGACAUUGCAAGUGAUGGGGAUAGUCAAUGAUGCGAAUGGUGAGUGGGCUAUUGUGGGUGGCACUGGAAAUCUGUCCAUGGCGCGUGGUACCGUGAAGUUCACCACAGUCCAGAGCAGCCCAAACAUUGAGAGCUACAAAAAAAUUGAUAUCCAUGCAUUCUACACAACCCAGCCGACCGUUUAA